GAGAGAUGCUGACUUGUGCCACCAGCCAUUGUCCCCCAGGGAAUACAGGCAGAGCCUGGGCAAAGAUUAUGAUGCUGAAGGUUUCAAAUAGCCUAUUUUAUAAAGGAGUGUCUAAGGUUGGGGAGAAGAACAAAAGAGAGAGGAAUGGAGAAAAGGAAGAGAAAGCAGAGAAAGGAGUGAUUAUUUGCCCAGGCAAAGCCCACUCCCAUCUCUAAAGCUCUGUGGAGAUUAAUGGCAAUUCUUAACUAAAUGUCCCAUCUCCCUAGAUUGUCACCUCCCAUCCUGCCUCUGGCUCUGGGCUUUGCUCAUCCCAGAGAGAUAAUUCUACCUUUGGAUCUUUCUCUUGUGGCUUUCCCCCUGCAUAGCUUCCAGGACUGCAUGGUGAGCCACCCACACACCCACAGACUUAGGGUUUCUCUUACAGAGGGUUCAUAAGGAAAUUUAAGUCAACCCCCAGCUUUGACAGGUGAAGCCCUCUGGGAGGCUGGGUGUUCCAAGAGCCAGGGCAACACUGGAAUGUCCUUCCAAACCAGGGCCCAAACAGCUGAGGAGCUCCAGUUACCCAAGAGGUGCAGCCAGAACAAGACGGACAUUUACCUGUGGGUCAGGCCUGGCUCAUCCCUGGUCUGGAAGCUUCCUAGUAGAAGGCACUAUGUUUCGCCAGCUCCUGCUAUGUCAUUUGGUAUACAAUAUUCACGCGAGCAAGCGACCACCCAUGCCCCUGCGUUUACUCUCCCUGUCACCACAACACACAGUAUCCCGAGUGUCAGAUAUUUUGCUGCUUGCUAAUGGCACAAGAGAAGAAGCAUGCUAAUCUCUUGGGGUGAUCAAACAGACCAAGCAGAAACGAUACCCUUUCUUCUCCUGCUGUCUUGAGCACCUUGUGUCCGUUCACUCAGCACGAUUCCAUCUUAGCAAUAAAUCCCCCACAAGGA